rfam:Candidatus Yanofskybacteria bacterium RIFCSPHIGHO2_01_FTLL_44_22 rifcsphigho2_01_scaffold_3746, whole genome shotgun sequence.
CCGCCCCUAGCUCAAUUGGCAGAGCAGCUCCCUUUUAAGGAGAAGGUUCCGAGUUCGAUUCUCGGGGGGCGGA